CAGUCCUUUAACACAACCCCGUGAGGUUGAGAAGGAAGUCGGAAUAUAAAAAAAGCAGGCCCAUUCUUUCCAAUGGAUACGCCUGCUCUUUAGGCCUUCUCACACAACUGACGUGAGAAGGCCUUUUAUUA
rfam:Bacillus cereus subsp. cytotoxis NVH 391-98, complete genome.